UUGACUUAGCGGCGGACGGGUGAGUAACGCGUGGGUAACCUGCCUUAUACAGGGGGAUAACAGUUAGAAAUGACUGCUAAUACCGCAUAAGCGCACGGGAACGCAUGUUUCUGUGUGAAAAACUGAGGUAGUAUAAGAUGGACCCGCGUCUGAUUAGCUAGUUGGUGGGGUAACGGCCUACCAAGGCGACGAUCAGUAGCCGGCCCGAGAGGGUGACCGGCCACAUUGGGACUGAGACACGGCCCAAACUCCUACGGAAGGCAGCAG
rnacentral:rRNA from 1 species